CAAAGUGCUUCCUUUUAGAGUGU
rnacentral:miRNA from 1 species